rnacentral:rRNA from 2 species
GUGGUGAACCUGCGGAAGGAUCAUUG